rnacentral:rRNA from 1 species
CUUUAUUGGAGAGUUUGAUCCUGGCUCAGGACGAACGCUGGCGGCGUGCCUAAUACAUGCAAGUCGAGCGAGUCUCUUCGGAGGCUAGCGGC